rnacentral:rRNA from 1 species
CCUUCAUGAAGCCGGAAUUGCUAGUAAUGGCAGGUCAGCAUACUGCCGUGAAUACGUUCCCGGGCCUUGUACACACCGCCCGUCACACCAUGAGAGUUGGGAAUACCCGAAGCCUGUGAGCUAACGCAAGAGGCAGCAGUCGAAGGUAGAAUCAAUGAUUGGGGUGAAGUCGUAACAAGGUAAC